rnacentral:rRNA from 1 species
AACGAACGCUGGCGGCGUGCCUAACACAUGCAAGUCGUGCGAGAAAGUUCCUUCGGGAGCGAGUAAAGCGGCGCACGGGUGAGUAACACGUAGGUAACCUGCCCCCCAGUCUGGAACAACUAGAGGAAACUCUAGCUAAUGCCGGAUGAGACCACGAUCCCUUCGGGGGUUGCGGCCAAAGAUGGCCUCUACUUGUAAGCUAUCGCUGAGGGAUGGGCCUGCGGGCCAUUAGCUUGUUGGUGAGGUAACGGCUCACCAAGGCUGUGAUGGCUAGCUGGUCUGAGAGGAUGACCAGCCACACUGGGACUGAGACACGGCCCAGACUCCUACGGGAGCAGCAGUGGGAAAUAUUGCGCAAUGGGCGAAAGCCUGACGCAGCGACGCCGCGUGGGGUGAUGAAGGCCUGGUCGU